UAAUCCCGCGCGGCUCAGAGAUGGGUUUCUGGACUCGCGAAGCAGCUGCAACAAGGCAUCACUCACUGUAUAAGUAUUUCCAUUUCUGAGAGCAAAAGGAAGAACUUAAGCGGGCGGCACUUGGAGUGUAAAUUGCUUUGUAGUAUUUAAAGGCAGAAUGGAUCCUGGGCAGCCGAGCUGCAACAAACCGGCAGGACUUCCUGUGAAAUCAUGACCACCAUGUGCUCUUUCAGCCUCUAUCAGUUCCUACCUCUAAGCACCUGAGAGCCAAAGCAAACCACAGGAAACCACAGGUACUAACUCUUUUAGACCUGAUGAAGUGUCUCCCAAAUACAGUCUGGCAUGACUCAAACUAAACGUCAGCUUUUCCCGGCUCUCAAGCCUGCUGGUCCCUGAACUAAAACUCACAUUAUCAACUCUACUGGUUCUUAGGCCUUUGGAGUCAGACUGGAACUACAGCAUUGACUCUUCCGGAACUCCAGCUUACUGACUACAGAUCUUGGAACUUUUCAGCUUCCACAACCAUAAUGAAAGCCAAGCAUAUUCCAUCAUUUCCUAAAACCAAGAUAGAGCACAUAUGGGAACUUGUGAAAUAAGGAUGCCCUGCGGUUGUUUUCAGGACUGAAGACAACAGCUCCACGAUGAAACCAAAGCACAAAGAGAGAAAGAAAAGAAAGAGAAAAAAGGAAGAAAGAAAAGAAAGAUGAAAGAAAGAAAGAGAAAGAAGAGAGAGGGAGAGAGAGAAAGAAAGAGAAGGAAAGAAAGAAGGAAGAAGAAAGAAAGAAAGAAAGAAAGAAAGAAAGAAAGAAAGAAAGAAAGAAAGAAAGAAAGAAAGAAAGAAAGAAAAAAGGAAGGAAGGAAAAGAAACACAUGGAAAGUGACAGGCUCCCUUUGUAUAUCACCUUGCAUGGUAAAGUGCAGAGAGCUCCAUCAGAGAAAUGCAGUUAAAAUCCAGUAGAUACCACCGUACACCUGAAAGACUUGUGAACAAACAGAUGACAGAAAAACAAAACAAAGCAAAACAGAACCUGAGAAUUUGAAUUGCUGCUUCUUUGGACCUUUUAAGUUGCAUUAUCCCAUAAAAUGUGGUGGAUUCAAUGUUGUAUGGCCUGUAAAACUAAGUAAUGAAGGCUGAUAUGUACCCACCUGGCUCUGUCUUGGGAUCACACAACUUGGGAGCCAAAACAGAUUGCAAAUGAUGUUCAAAUCAAGGACUGGCUUAAGGGAGAAAAUCAAUUAUACUGUACAA
rnacentral:lncRNA from 1 species